UGUUGAGAAGUAAGUUCCGCUGCUUGCAGCACUUUCCGCCUCUGCUAUACAGCCCUGAUAGAGCAGCGCGAAUCAUUUAUGCAUGCGUUGCUCUCCAUAACGUUGCAUUGGACGCGGGCGACUGGUCAUUGGACGAUUAAGGUGGAGAAGUGCCACCAGCUGAGGAGUCAGAGGAGCCUGGAGACAGCCAGGUGCUGGCACCGCACGACGUGUUUCUCACAGGAACGCAGCAGCGCAUUGCCGUUGUCAACCUUUUCUGAAGGACACAGGAAUGGUGCCCAGCUAUGUCUCGUGCCAUAGAGCGCACCUGCAUCAGGAUAGCCUCCUGAGCCGCUGCCGUCCUCUCAGCCGCGACAGCCAUCCUUUGUCGUGACAGCCGUCCUCUCUGCCGCGACAGUGAUGCGGGUGGUGUAUUCCUCAACCCUCCGCUGCGCCUGUAAUGAAUAAUCGUGGUGGAACUGUUCGCAUGAGUUGCUGAUUACUCGCAACCAGCUCAUGGCUGGAAGCUGCGGUUGUCAAGAAUUGCAACGUGCACGACAAUUCCCUCUCAGUUGAAGAGCCACUGGCCUGGUGGUAUCCUUUGGCAGUGUCAAGCGUCGUGUACAAGCUAUGCCCUCUUCGUUUGGACAAAGACCUACUGGAACUACUCUUCCGUCAUCUACUCAAAUGCAUCUCUUACCACCAAACAGCCUUUUUCAGGGCUAACCAACCUUUUGCCCGGCGGUUGAUCGUUGGCAAGAUACGAUACCGAACCCUCAAUACAACGCAUAUUUCUUGUUUACAUCCCAA